GCUCAGGUGGCGGAAUUGGUAGACGCACAGGACUUAAAAUCCUGUGGGCUUUACGCCCGUGGGGGUUCGAUUCCCCCUCUGAGUA
rnacentral:tRNA from 1 species